CCUACGGGAGGCAGCAGUGAGGAAUAUUGGUCAAUGGCCGCAGGGCUGAACCAACCAAGUCGCGUGAGGGAUGACGGUCCUAUGGAUUGUAAACCUCUUUUGUCAGGGAGCAAAGGGCGCCACGUGUGGCGCUUUGCGAGUACCUGAAGAAAAAGCAUCGGCUAACUCCGUGCCAGCAGCCGCGGUAAUACGGAGGAUGCGAGCGUUAUCCGGAUUUAUUGGGUUUAAAGGGUGCGCAGGCGGAAUGUCAAGUCAGCGGUAAAAUUUCGGGGCUCAACCCCGUCGUGCCGUUGAAACUGGCGUUCUUGAGUGAGCGAGAAGUAUGCGGAAUGCGUGGUGUAGCGGUGAAAUGCAUAGAUAUCACGCAGAACUCCGAUUGCGAAGGCAGCAUACCGGCGCUCAACUGACGCUCAUGCACGAAAGCGUGGGUAUCGAACAGGAUUAGAUACCCCGGUAGUC
rnacentral:rRNA from 1 species